UACGGAGGGGGCUAGCGUUGUUCGGAAUUACUGGGCGUAAAGCGCGCGUAGGCGGCUUUGUAAGUUAGAGGUGAAAGCCCGGAGCUCAACUCCGGAACUGCCUUUAAAACUGCAUCGCUUGAAUCCAGGAGAGGUGAGUGGAAUUCCGAGUGUAGAGGUGAAAUUCGUAGAUAUUCGGAAGAACGCCAGUGGCGAAGGCGGCUCACUGGACUGGUAUUGACGCUGAGGUGCGAAAGCAUGGGGAGCAAACAGG
rnacentral:rRNA from 1 species